UACGUAGGGUGCAAGCGUUAAUCGGAAUUACUGGGCGUAAAGCGUGCGCAGGCGGUUAUGUAAGACAGUUGUGAAAUCCCCGGGCUCAACCUGGGAACUGCAUCUGUGACUGCAUAGCUAGAGUACGGUAGAGGGGGAUGGAAUUCCGCGUGUAGCAGUGAAAUGCGUAGAUAUGCGGAGGAACACCGAUGGCGAAGGCAAUCCCCUGGACCUGUACUGACGCUCAUGCACGAAAGCGUGGGGAGCAAACAGGAUUAGAAACCGUA
rnacentral:rRNA from 1 species